rnacentral:tRNA from 1 species
CAAGGAAUAGUUUAAGAUUAGAAUACCAGCUUUGGGUGUUGGUGGUGGAGCUAAAGUUUCUUCCUUGAACUUUUAAAU